rnacentral:lncRNA from 1 species
GAUUAAUGUAUACUAAUUAAAUGCUCUGUAAUACAUAGAAACACUGUUCAGGAUGGAUACUAUAUCACUAUAUCGAUUAGCAGUUUCGAACAAAGAAGUAGCUAAUGGUUUUGGCGGAGUAUUUCCUUCGGAUAUAUUACUGGCCAAAAAAAGGAAAAUAUAAAUCUUUCAUAAUUAACACAAAGGAAAGUAAUAAUAAAGGCAUGCACUGGCUCGCAGUCUACUUCGAUAAAAUUAUUUUUUCGACAGUUACGGAUUUAAAUCGAAGAUUGCAUCUAUCAUUAAGAUUAUUCAACAAAACAGUAAAAGACUUUAUUAUAAUAAAUACAUUUAUCCAGGACCGUUUUCGACGAUUGUGGAUAUUUUUGUUUAUAUUUUCUUUAUCAAAUAAAUCGUAAACAGAGUUUAUGGCCAUUAAAUGCCAGAACUAAAAAUUUUAAUGAAAUGUAUGUUAUUGACUUUGUUCGUAAAAAAUUAUAUUUUGCCGAUCUUCCACCGAAUGUUUUAAUUUAUUGUAAUCAAUGUAGUCGCAG